UGGCAAGUCACGACAACGGACACCACUCCACUCUCCGCAACAAACUCCACGUGGCCCUGAACGACCCCUGACGCCACUACUCUCCGUAACAAACUCCACGCGGCUCUGAAUGGCCCACUACCAGGUAGUUAUAGACGUCGCUGUCAAUCAGUUGCGCUCUCCAUCUAUAAAAAUGGACCCCCAGAUACGUUCUUCUCUAAGCUCAAAAACUCUAUCCCAAAAUUCUGCUAAAAU
rnacentral:lncRNA from 1 species